rnacentral:rRNA from 1 species
GACGAACGCUGGCGGCGUGCUUAACACAUGCAAGUCGAACGGAAAGGCCCUGCUUUUGUGGGGUGCUCGAGUGGCGAACGGGUGAGUAACACGUGAGUAACCUGCCCUUGACUUUGGGAUAACUUCAGGAAACUGGGGCUAAUACCGGAUAGGAGCUCCUGCUGCAUGGUGGGGGUUGGAAAGUUUCGGCGGUUGGGGAUGGACUCGCGGCUUAUCAGCUUGUUGGUGGGGUAGUGGCUUACCAAGGCUUUGACGGGUAGCCGGCCUGAGAGGGUGACCGGCCACAUUGGGACUGAGAUACGGCCCAGACUCCUACGGGAGGCAGCAGUGGGGAAUAUUGCACAAUGGGGGGAAGCCUGAUGCAGCAACGCCGCGUGCGGGAUGACGGCUUUCGGGUUGUAAACCGCUUUCGCCUGUGACGAAGCGUGAGUGACGGUAAUGGGUAAAGAAGCACCGGCUAACUACGUG